CCCUUGCUGGUCUUGUGGCUAGGAUUCCAGGUUCUCACCCAGGCUACCCAGGUUCAAUUCCUGGGCAAGGAA
rfam:Ovis aries breed Texel chromosome 10, whole genome shotgun sequence.